rnacentral:rRNA from 1 species
GAUGAACGCUGGCGGCGUGCUUAACACAUGCAAGUCGAGCGAAGCACUUAAGUUUGAUUCUUCGGAUGAGGACUUUUGUGGCUGAGCGGCGGACGGGUGAGUAACGCGUGGGUAACCUGCCUCAUACAGGGGGAUAACAGUUAGAAAUGGCUGCUAAUACCGCAUAAGACCACAGUACUGCAUGGUACAGUGGUAAAAACUCCGGUGGUAUGAGAUGGACCCGCGGCUGAUUAGGUAGUUGGUGAGGUAACGGCCCACCGAGCCGACGAUCAGUAGCAGACCUGAGAGGGUGACCGGCCACAUUGGGACUGAGACACGGCCCAGACUCCUACGGGAGGCAGCAGUGGGGAAUAUUGCACAAUGGGCGAAAGCCUGAUGCAGCGACGCCGCGUGAAGGAUGAAGUAUUUCGGUAUGUAAACUUCUAUCAGCAGGGAAGAAAAUGACGGUACCUGACUAAGAAGCCCCGGCUAACUACGUGCCAGCCGCCGCAGUAA